UCCCUCCGUGAUCCACAGAUCUCACUACUGCCUUAAAACUUCACUACUAUUUCUUCUUUCUUUCUUUUUCUGUGUGUACACAUGUACGCUGUGUGACGGUGUGUUUGCGCGUGCCUAUGUGAACAUACGUGUGAGAGGGUGCACGUGCAUGUGGGCACACGCUGGCGUGGACGUGGACGUGGACGUGGAGGCCUGAUGCCGUCAGGAGCCAUCCUUGACUGUUCCUCCUCCCUUAUUCAAGGGAGCGAGGGCACUCAGUCAAACUCAUGGCCAGUCUCAAGCCGGCUUACUCUGAGAAUCCUGUUUCUGCUUUACCUAGCCUCCACUCGGCACUUAAACGGGUUCUGGGGGUCCAGCUCAUCUUCACACUUGCGAGUAAAUCGUGAAGAUGAAACUCUCCCCAUUCAUGCCUGGAGCGCUGGCCAAUUGCAACUGCGGAAUGCGCAUUCAGGACCUCUCACGAAUGCGGUUCCCUUCUCGCGAACCCAGCCCGCCCAGCCUGCCGCCUGUUCUUUCCCCAACGAAAUCAACAAGACCGCAGCGGAAAGGUUUCAUGGUCAAGAAGGCUGACCUAGUCUCCUAAUGAAUGGUUUCUCUGUGUAGCCUUGGCUGUCCUG